UACGUAGGUGGCAAGCGUUGUCCGGAUUUACUGGGCGUAAAGAGCGCGCAGGCGGUUGAUCAAGUCGCGUGUGAAAGCCCCCGGCUCAACUGGGGAGGGUCACGCGAUACUGAUCGACUCGAAGGCAGGAGAGGGUAGUGGAAUUCCCGGUGUAGUGGUGAAAUGCGUAGAUAUCGGGAGGAACACCAGUGGCGAAGGCGACUACCUGGCCUGUUCUUGACGCUGAGGCGCGAAAGCUAGGGGAGCAAACGGG
rnacentral:rRNA from 1 species